rnacentral:rRNA from 1 species
AAUGAACGCUGGCGGCAUGCCUAACACAUGCAAGUCGAACGAAGGCUUCGGCCUUAGUGGCGCACGGGUGCGUAACGCGUGGGAAUCUGCCCUUGGGUUCGGAAUAACUCAGAGAAAUUUGAGCUAAUACCGGAUGAUGACGUAAGUCCAAAGAUUUAUCGCCCAAGGAUGAGCCCGCGUAGGAUUAGCUAGUUGGUGAGGUAAAGGCUCACCAAGGCGACGAUCCUUAGCUGGUCUGAGAGGAUGAUCAGCCACACUGGGACUGAGACACGGCCCAGACUCCUACGGGAGGCAGCAGUGGGGAAUAUUGGACAAUGGGCGAAAGCCUGAUCCAGCAAUGCCGCGUGAGUGAUGAAGGCCUUAGGGUUGUAAAGCUCUUUUACCCGGGAUGAUAAUGACAGUACCGGGAGAAUAAGCUCCGGCUAACUUCGUGCCAGCCGCCGCCGUAA